rnacentral:misc_RNA from 1 species
CAGAGUUCUCGCCCUUCCGGGUAGAUCUCCCACCCACUGUUAUUGUUACCGUCGUUUCUUUGGCGGGCCGCCGGGCCCUGCUCGGCCGCCGGCCCCGGCUGGCGCGUGCCCGCCAGAGGCCCUUCAAACUCUGAAUGUUAGUGUCGUCUGAGUACUAUACAAUAGUUA